rnacentral:lncRNA from 1 species
CAGGCUCUCCUUGGCUACCCCUGCACUCUGUGGAGGCUCAGCGUCAGGUUGCAACUCAGAACUCCUGUGAACUCCAAGAACCAGAAGAUCCAGGCCACAGAGCCCCAUCUUCACAGCCUCCGCAGCCCCCGCAGCCUCCAAAGGGCACUCCUCACUGCAUGUGCUCGCCAGGCUGAUUUCACAGUUGGAGCCUUGCUAGUAAGACCCUACAGGCAGUUCCCAAGAUGGGGGAAAGGAAAGGCCAGAACAAGUACUACCCUCCGGACUUCAACCCCGAAAAGCAUGGCUCUCUCAACCGAUACCACAACAGCCACCCACUUCGAGAACGGGCUCGGAAGCUCUCACAAGGCAUCCUUAUUAUCCGAUUUGAAAUGCCAUACAACAUCUGGUGUGACGGCUGUAAGAACCACAUCGGCAUGGGUGAGCGUGGGUGAGCGCCGCAAUGGGUGUGCGCUACAAUGCAGAAAAGAAGAAGGUUGGCAAUUACUACACGACUCCGAUCUACAGGUUCCGGAUGAAAUGCCACCUCUGUGUCAACUACAUCGAGAUGCAAACAGACCCUGCCAACUGUGACUAUGUCAUCGUGAGUGGUGCCAGUCGCAAGGAGGAGCGUUGGGAUAUGGAAGACAAUGAGCAGGUGCUGACCACAGAGCAUGAGAAGAAAGAGAAACUGGAGACAGAUGCCAUGUUCCGCCUAGAGCAUGGUGA